rnacentral:rRNA from 1 species
UGGGGAAUAUUGCACAAUGGGCGAAAGCCUGAUGCAGCGACGCCGCGUGAGGGACGAAGGUCUUCGGAUUGUAAACCUCUUUCAGCAGGGACGAAGCGAAAGUGACUGUACCUGCAGAAGAAGCACCGGCUAACUACGUGCCAGCAGCCGCGGUAAUACGUAGGGUGCAAGCGUUGUCCGGAUUUAUUGGGCGUAAAGAGCUCGUAGGCGGUUCGUCACGUCGGAUGUGAAAACCUGGGGCUUAACCCCGGGCCUGCAUACGAUACGGGCGAACUAGAGUUCGGUAGGGGGGACUGGAAUUCCUGGUGUAGCGGUGAAAUGCGCAGAUAUCAGGAGGAACACCGGUGGCGAAGGCGGGUCUCUGGGCCGAUACUGACGCUGAGGAGCGAAAGCGUGGGGAGCAAACA